rnacentral:rRNA from 1 species
AUGGGGAGAAGACCUGCGAGGUGCUAUCGGCAGAUCAAGAACAAGCCGUACCCCAAGUCAAGGUACUGCCGUGGUGUGCCUGACCCUAAGAUCAGGAUCUAUGAUGUUGGCAUGAAGAAGAAGGGUGUCGACGAGUUCUCUCACUGUGUUCACCUUGUCUCAUGGGAGAAGGAGAAUGUGUCCAGUGAGGCUCUUGAGGCUGCCCGUAUUGCUUGCAAUAAGUACAUGACCAAGCAUGCAGGAAAGGAUGCCUUCCACCUCAGGGUCAGGGUUCACCCGUUCCAUGUGCUCCGUAUCAACAAGAUGCUUUCGUGUGCCGGGGCUGAUAGGCUCCAGACUGGUAUGAGGGGUGCUUUUGGGAAGCCGCAGGGAGUCUGUGCCCGUGUUGCCAUUGGGCAGGUCCUCCUUUCUGUGCGGUGCAAGCCCAACAAUGCCAUCCAUGCCACUGAGGCCCUUCGUCGUGCCAAGUUCAAGUUCCCUGGCCGCCAAAAGAUCAUUGAGAGCAGGAAGUGGGGCUUCACCAAGUUCAACCGCAACGACUACCUCAAGUUCAAGAGUGAGGGCAGGAUCUUGCCUGAUGGAGUCAACGCUAAGCUGCUCGGAUGCCAUGGCCGCCUUGCGAACCGUGCCCCUGGACAAGCUUUCCUGUCUGCCGCAUAA